ensembl:snRNA U2 U2 spliceosomal RNA
GCUUCUUCUCUGCCUUUUGGCUAAGAUCAAGUGUAGGAUCUGUUCUUAACAGUUUAAUAUCUGAUAUAUUUUCUAUCCGAGUCCAAUAUAUUAAAUGGAUUUGGGGAGCAGGAAGACGCAAUAGGAGCUUUCUUGUUCACUUAACGCAUCCACCUGGUAUUACAGUACCUCCAGGAACAGUGCACCCCCU